GACGGGGGAUGCAAGUGUUAUCCGGAAUAAUUGGGCGUAAAGCGUCUGUAGGUGGUUUACCAAGUCUGUUGUUAAAAAUCAGGCUUAACCCUGAUCCGGCAACAGAAACUAGUAGGCUGGAGUACGGUAGGGGCAGAGGGAAUUCUCGGUGUAGUGGUGAAAUACGUAGAUAUCGAGAAGAACACCAAUAGCGAAAGCACUCUGCUGGGCCGAAACUGACAUUGA
rnacentral:rRNA from 1 species